CCCUUAGAUGUUCUGGGCUGCACGCGCGCUACACUGAUGCAUCCAACAAGUUUUUUCCUUGUUCGAGAGGACUAGGUAAUCUUAUGAGAAUGCAUCGUGAUGGGGAUAGAUUAUUGCAAUUAUUAAUCUUCAACGAGGAAUUCCUAGUAAGCGCGAGUCAUCAGCUCGUGCUGAUUACGUCCCUACCCUUUGUACACACCGCCCGUCGCUGCAACUGAUUGGGUGACCUGGUGAACAUCUUGGACCGGCCCACUCAAUUUCGAGAGGACUGGAAAAGGCCGUAAAUCAGGUACAUCUAGAAAUUGCAAAAGUCGUAACA
rnacentral:rRNA from 1 species